GACUAGAAAACUGAGGCCCUAGGAGGAUGGAUUUAUUGGUCCUUUUUUUUUUUCCUCCAACUCCUGAGCCUCAUAGUGUCAGGACUCUAGCUGUGUGUUAAAGAAAUUAAAAAUAAAUAAACCCUACAACUCUUUCCCUUUCCCUCUCCCUUCACUCUUCUUUUUUUCCUUUCCACCUGCUAAUACUUUCCCCCUCUCUCUCCUUGUAUAUUUAUAAUAGGUUGGGAUCUGAAUGCAGAGGAGUUUUAAUAGAAAGACCAGAACACCUCUCCAUUUGUAGAAUCCUGCUCCAGAGUAGAAGAUUCCAAGUGUGAUAGAGAUUCAGUGCAAUACUACCAGACACAGUCUAAAGCAACUGAACUUCUCAUUCACCUGGGAAGAGAGCAUGGCCAAGAACAGAAACCCAGGAAAGUCAACUGGCAAAGAUGCACCCAAUUGGCUUUCCGACUUUUGACCCGGGCUCUACUUGAAGUUUCAGAGGAUCAGGACCUGGGAGGACAACAAGUUCUUCAUUUAGUAGAUUGA
rnacentral:lncRNA from 1 species